CUUAUGGCCACAUUGAAACACUGCUCCCCAUACAAUCACUGAAGUUAAGCAAUGUUAAGCCUGGUCAGUACCUAGAUGUGUGACUGUUUGGGAAUAUCAG